rnacentral:rRNA from 1 species
GAUGAACGCUGGCGGCGUGCCUAAUACAUGCAAGUCGAGCGAACAGACGAGGAGCUUGCUCCUCUGACGUUAGCGGCGGACGGGUGAGUAACACGUGGAUAACCUACCUAUAAGACUGGGAUAACUUCGGGAAACCGGAGCUAAUACUGGAUAAUAUAUUGAACCGCAUGGUUCAAUAGUGAAAGACGGUUUUGCUGUCACUUAUAGAUGGAUCCGCGCCGCAUUAGCUAGUUGGUAAGGUAACGGCUUACCAAGGCAACGAUGCGUAGCCGACCUGAGAGGGUGAUCGGCCACACUGGAACGGAGACACGGUCCAGACUCCUACGGGAGGCAGCAGUAGGGAAUCUUCCGCAAUGGGCGAAAGCCUGACGGAGCAACGCCGCGUGAGUGAUGAAGGUCUUCGGAUCGUAAAACUCUGUUAUUAGGGAAGAACAAAUGUGUAAGUAACUAUGCACGUCUUGACGGUACCUAAUCAGAAAGCCACGGCUAACUACGUG